GGGGAUAUAGCUCAGUUGGUAGAGUGUUUGCCUUGCAAGCACAAGGCGCUGGAUUCAAUCCCCA
rnacentral:tRNA from 1 species